GUCAAUCAACUAUAUUUCAAUUAAAAAACAAAAAAUAGAUAAUAUAAAGUAGAUGUAUUAUAAUAGGGCAUUGAGAAUCUAACACAAAUAUAAUUUAGGUUACUUAAAAAAUUCCUUUCUUCCUUCUCUCCUUCUUUCUUCUUUGCAUCCUUUUUCUUCCUCUCUUUCCUUCUUUCCUUCCUUCUAUAAAUAGCUACCAAAUGUUGAGUGUUAGCAUCAUGCUAAGGAUGGUUCAUAGAUAUUUGCAUUGAAUCCCUGCAAUUACUGUCUGAAAUGGAAAUAACUUGCUAUCUUACUUCAAGCUCCUGCUUUGACUACCACACUAUACUGCUUCCAAAAAAGGGGGUUUUGUGGGUUUUUUUCCCCAAGGAACCAUUGUUUGCAGGCAUAGCCUCUAGUUCAGAGGGAUACUUAGAAACAGAAAAUGUUUCCUUUACUUGUCAAAGAAGUUGUUGGGAAAUCUAUAGGCCAAGGUAAAGGAAGUACAUGGCUCAUUAGCAGCAGAAGAAAUACAGAUUAAGCUAGUUGGUCUUAUUACCUUUCUAUAAUAGGGGUGGAGCAGGCCACACAGUCAUUAUCUGGACACGCUAGGCACUGUUCUCGCGAGACCCUGAGCACUGUUCUCGCGAGACCCUGAGCUCUGAGGUUUGAGGAUCAGCUCUACUAACAGUCAGCUUCACUGUGGUCCUCAUGGCAGAGAGUGCGGUGUGAGGUGGAUUGCAGCUUUCUCCUGAAGCCUUCCAGGCCUAGAGGCCAGCAGAAUCUUUGAGGUUACAAGAAUCAUGCACUAGAGGCUAUUUCUCCUUGUUUCAGAAAGAUGAGGACCUUGAUCAGAAGGGUGAGAAGUUCACUCUGGAAUUCUCUCAUGGGACUCUUCAAUUCAGUUGUGACAUUUAAUACAACCCUCAUGAUUUAUGAGAACUCAGAGAAUCCUGGGGAUCUUCCUGACCCAGGGAUCAAACCUGCAUCUCUUAUGUCUCCUGCAUUGGAAGAUGGAUUCUUUACCGCUAGCACCACCUGGGAAGUCCAGUAACCUCUGAUAUACCUCCAAAUCAAAAGCAGCCUUCAUGGAUAUUGAAUGCUUAUAGUUUUCCUUUUUUAAGGAAAAGUGAAUUCUAAAAUUUUAAAUUAAAUAGUUUAAUGGAGCUUGGAUAUUCUUAUAUUCCUGUCGUGUUGAUUAUACCUCAUGAUAAGUAAGCAUUAGGAGAUCGCUUGCCAGAUCACAUAAACAUGCAUGGAAUAUCUCAAGGGGCCAAAUGUAAUUAUUCUUCUAAAGAUUCUUGGGCUCCAUUUUAUUUCUUAAGAUAGAUCUAUAAAUCUGAUAGCAAUUGAACUACAUCAAGUAUAUGAAGCCCUUAAAUAAAUGUAAGGAAAAGACAGAAUCCUUAAAAUGUCAUGUCAAAGUAAAUAACUGGGUGCUUCCAAGCAAAGACAGCUUUACAUCAGCAUGGAUACCAACACAUGGAAGCAAUUAAUAGAAAUAUUUUCAGUGAGAAAUAGAAACAUAUCUAUGGCCAUUACUGAAAUGCAUUAAACAAGAUGAACUUUUUGGAGAAAGUGAAAAAAUAAUAUUUGCUAAAAAAAUAAAAGCUUUUUGGCUGUCAUACAGUAAUGUGUAAUACUAGUGUUUCUUAAGUUCCCAGACCUUCAAUCCUCUUUAUUCACGAGUGCGUUGGAAACAGCAGAUUCUGAUUCAAAUCACCUUAAAUUCAAGCACUGCAUUAAUGGUUGUUGGCCUCCUUGGAGGAUUUUCCUAGAAUGAUUGUGCUGUCUGGAAUUUUAUUUGUUUGUUUUCAAAAUGAAGGAAAAAAUAAUCCAGAGCUGGUUAUGGAUCACAUAGUGUAUAUGUCUUUUAAGAAAUUAUUUGCUGAAAAAUUACAUUCCAAAAAAAGCAAAAUUUCCCCCCUGCAAAAAAACCAUUUCUUUUACUUCUUAAGCCCCAAA